GACAGAGGUGCCGAGCGUUAGGCGGAAUCACUGGGCUUAAAGCGUGUGUAGGCGGGCCGUUAAGUAUCUUGUGAAAUCCCACGGCUCACCCGUGGAACGGCUGGGCAUACUGGCGAUCUUGGGCCAACUAGGGGCAACUGGAACAAGCGGUGGAGCGGUGAAAUGCGUAGAUAUCGCUUGGAACGCCGAAGGUGAAAACAGGUUGCUGGGGUUGUGCCGACGCUGAGACACGAAAGCCAGGGGAGCAAACGGG
rnacentral:rRNA from 1 species